ensembl:lncRNA
GGACAGGCCUCUCCCUAAGCAUAGAGAGACAGUGCUACCGUGCUGACCUUGAUGCAGAGAAAACAGGAGAAGAAGAAAGAUGAGAAAAGAAUGUGGAAAUGGCCAAAUAAGGCACAAUGUUAUCUGGUGUGAACCAAUCAGGGUGGGACAUGACAGCGCGGUUAUGUAGGUAAAAAUGUAUAGAAGCUGUAUUUGGUAGUGAAUAAACGCCAUUUUGCUGCUCAUCAUAUUGGUGUGCGUCUGCAGUCAUUUGGCCCUGAUCAGGCUAUUGGUCAGUGAGCGCAGAGGCCUAACACAGGUGGCUAACAUCGUUGUUGCAGAAAGCAACAAAUGGUGCCCCGUGUGAGGCACAGACUGUGUUGUGAUGCCCUCUGCGUGGCUACGAGCUGUGGGGUGACGCCGUAGCACGAGAUUUGGGGUGACGCCCAGCCCGCGUGCCCUGAAGAGAGGGGGAGCCUGCAGACUGGGGUGACGCCCUGCAGAAGAUGGUGGCGACGACGAUAGUGCCGGCUGGCAAGUAGAACCUGUGUUGCGGUGGGGUCUGGGGGACGACAGGGCGCUCACGGAGGACCCGUGUGGACGGCGGCGUCGAGUGUGACUUGGUGGUGACAGCGACGGGCUGACCAUGGACCAUGUUCUUAAGGAUGCUUGUAGAAGUGCCUUCAACGAAUGAUGGACAAGACCUUUGACUAUCGAAUUGAGUAUCAUAGAUUGCGUGAAAAAUUAUAGAGGGGUUUAGGUUGUUGCGUUCAUGCUGUAAAGGGGCAAGGCUUGGCCGAGCACGGGAAAGGAUUCCCUGUUGCUCUGAUGAUUGCUUAAGAAUGGUAGAAGAAGGUAUUAGGAAUAGUGUGCUGAAAUAUAUUUAGGAUUAGGCGUUUUGCGCUGCUUUGCGACGUACGGGUUAGGCGUGUGUGCAAGUAGUAUUUAGCUUAGGGAGGGGGAGAUGUUGUAGUAGGCAUCUUGCGGGGGUACGGGAUGUACGGGACAGGCCUCUCCCUAAGCAUAGAGAGACAGUGCUACCGUGCUGACCUUGAUGCAGAGAAAACAGGAGAAGAAGAAAGAUGAGAAAAGAAUGUGGAAAUGGCCAAAUAAGGCACAAUGUUAUCUGGUGUGAACCAAUCAGGGUGGGACAUGACAGCGCGGUUAUGUAGGUAAAAAUGUAUAGAAGCUGUAUUUGGUAGUGAAUAAACGCCAUUUUGCUGCUCAUCAUAUUGGUGUGCGUCUGCAGUCAUUUGGCCCUGAUCAGGCUAUUGGUCAGUGAGCGCAGAGGCCUA